rnacentral:rRNA from 1 species
UACGAAGGGGCUAGCGUUGUUCGGAAUCACUGGGCGUAAAGGGCGCGUAGGCGGCUUUAUAAGUCGGGGGUGAAAGCCUGUGGCUCAACCACAGAAUUGCCUUCGAUACUGUAGAGCUUGAGACCGGAAGAGGUAAGUGGAACUGCGAGUGUAGAGGUGAAAUUCGUAGAUAUUCGCAAGAACACCAGUGGCGAAGGCGGCUUACUGGUCCGGUUCUGACGCUGAGGCGCGAAAGCGUGGGGAGCAAACAGGAU